rnacentral:rRNA from 1 species
CAGUCGCCACGGUAAUACGUAGGGUGCGAGCGUUGUCCGGAAUUACUGGGCGUAAAGAGCUCGUAGGCGGUUUGUCGCGUCGUCUGUGAAAUUCUGCAGCUUAACUGUAGGCGUGCAGGCGAUACGGGCAGACUUGAGUACUACAGGGGAGACUGGAAUUCCUGGUGUAGCGGUGAAAUGCGCAGAUAUCAGGAGGAACACCGGUGGCGAAGGCGGGUCUCUGGGUAGUAACUGACGCUGAGGAGCGAAAGCGUGGGUAGCGAACAGGAUUAGAGACCCGCGUAGUCCCUGUCUCUUAUAC